rnacentral:rRNA from 1 species
AGAGUUUGAUCCUGGCUCAGAUUGAACGCUGGCGGCAUGCUUUACACAUGCAAGUCGAACGGCAGCGGGGGCUUCGGCCUGCCGGCGAGUGGCGAACGGGUGAGUAAUACAUCGGAACGUGUCCUUAAGUGGGGAAUAACGCAUCGAAAGAUGUGCUAAUACCGCAUAUCUCUCAGGAGGAAAGCAGGGGAUCGAAAGACCUUGCGCUAAAGGAGCGGCUGAUGUCUGAUUAGCUAGUUGGUGGGGUAAAGGCUUACCAAGGCAACGAUCAGUAGCUGGUCUGAGAGGACGACCAGCCACACUGGGACUGAGACACGGCCCAGACUCCUACGGGAGGCAGCAGUGGGGAAUUUUGGACAAUGGGCGAAAGCCUGAUCCAGCCAUGCCGCGUGAGUGAAGAAGGCCUUCGGGUUGUAAAGCUCUUUUAGUCGGAAAGAAAGAGUCAUAGUAAAUAGCUAUGAUUUAUGACGGUACCGACAGAAAAAGCACCGGCUAACUACGUGCCAGCAGCCGCGGUAAUACGUAGGGUGCGAGCGUUAAUCGGAAUUACUGGGCGUAAAGGGUGCGCAGGCGGCCUUGUAAGUCAGAUGUGAAAGCCCCGGGCUUAACCUGGGAAUUGCGUUUGAAACUACAAAGCUAGAGUGCAGCAGAGGGGAGUGGAAUUCCAUGUGUAGCAGUGAAAUGCGUAGAGAUGUGGAAGAACACCGAUGGCGAAGGCAGCUCCCUGGGU